UGAAGAAUUGUUCAGGAGAUCCUCUACAGGAGAGUGGAGCACACCGAACCAGAUAUUACUGACCACCUCUACAGCAGUGAAGGUAAAGGAACAACCUGCUUGGAUACAUUAUUCAAGAAUAAAGAAAGCACCAGAGCCAGAGAAGACACGGCGGAUCGAACCUUUGGGACCCUUACAUAUGAAAUUGCAUUGGUCAUAAUUUGGAUUUAUACGAUAACUGGUGUACAAACUUGGGACCAAAAUUUAUACCUGAAAUUAAUGCAGACUGUUACUAAAGUUGUUAAUCAUAGUGACUGUUGGGUGUGUGCACAGUUGCCUGAAUUAGGAGAAAAUCCGGACUUUUCAUUAAUUGGCGUUCCAAUUUCCAACACCAUCUCAUGGACAAAUUUGAGGGUGAACACUAGCAAUCUGCGUCUAUGGGAAAGGUUAAGAUUUGGCACAGUUAAUCCUAAUCCAAGUAAAGAAUAUUAUACCUGUGUACAAAUAUGUAUUACAGCAGGAACCAGAGUAUGAGAUUAUGGUUGUUUAAAUGCCACAGGUGUAGGUCACUAUUCAAAUUACAAUUACACUAUUAAUAUAGAUGGUAUCAUAGUUCAUUGGUGGCCCAUUCCUGAAGGGAAAGGAUGGUAUUGGUUAUGUGGAGAAAAUGUUUAUAAGACUCUACCCUGCAACUGGAAGGGGGGAUGCACCUUAGGUACUGUGAUGCUCAAUCUUAUUAUUAUUGACAUGUAUCCUUCUGAAACCUGGAUAAGAAGUUUUCCUAAACAGAUUAAGUGAGGGUUUAACUCUAUUGCUGAACAGAACACCGCAUUUCAUAGUUUUGUAAGAGGGCUAAUUCCAUCUUUGGGAGUAAGUGAAUUAGAGAAGGCAAUGUAAAUAUCUCAGCAACCAUAGAGGAAAUAGAAACCUACCUAAAGUGGUAUUACAAAACCAAAUGGCUCUAGACAUGUUAUUGGCUUCACAAGGAGGGGUUUGUUCUAUAAUCAAUGAAAGAUGCUGUUCCUACAUAGAUCUAAGUGGCAGAAUUGAAACAGAUCUGGAGGAAAUUUGGAGACAACUAAAAUAUUCCAUGAAAUGGCCAUGGAUGACACCUCCUGGGGGUUUGAAGAAAUAUGGAAAAAGUUAACUUCAUCGUUACCUAACCUCUCCUGGCUGAGGCAACUAGUUGCAGGAAUAUUGAUGUUAAUUGUUUUAAUAUUGAUUACUUGUGGUAUGAUACAAUGUUCCUUCUGGUAUUGUAAAUGAUCUAUGAUAAAUUGUGAAUAUUGGAAAAGAAAUGGGAUCAAGCUUCAA